rnacentral:rRNA from 1 species
CGCCUUUAGCCCCCUAAGUAUUGAAGGUCCUGCCUGCCCAGUGAGACUCUUUAACGGCCGCGGUAUCCUAACCGUGCAAAGGUAGCGCAAUCCCUUGUCCUCUAACUGAGGACUAGUAUGAAAGGCACCAUGAGGGCUCAACUGUCUCCUAGAACUCAACAAUGAAAUUGAACCCCCAGUUCAAACGCUGGAAUGCACACAUAAGACGAGAAGACCCUGUGGAACUUCAACUACUAUACUAGCAGCAGCCUCCCCACAUCAUCCCUAGUAAAACUUUCGGUUGGGGCAACCGUGGAGCAAAAUAAAACCUCCAUUACCACGACUAAUCAUCGAAUCAAAGGCCUACACGCCACUGAAACAUUGUUUGAUCCGGCACAGCCGACCAACGAACCAAGCUACCCCAGGGAUAACAGCGCCAUCCCCUUCAAGAGUCCUUAUCGUCAGGGGGGUUUACGACCUCGAUGUUGGAUCAGGACCCCCUGGUGGUGUAGCCGCUACCAACGGCUCGUUUGUUCAACGAAUAAUGUCCU